CUUUUGUUUAGACAGUACUCGAUUACAUUGCAGCUCAAAGCGAAAGUGACACCUUGCGUGCGUGUGGAAGCAUUACCCACCUGAAUGAAGCUGUGUUGAGGCUGAUAACAUGGUGCAAAGAUGGGACUGAGAUGAUUUGAACACAAAGUCAAUAGGUCGUUAGAUUUCAGAAGCAAUCCACAAAACACUUGAAGAUCCGCUUUAAGCAGCUGUUCCUAGAACCAGAUGUGGUCUCUAGGAAUUAAAGAUUAAUCAUCGGAAUGUUGCUGGGAAUAAAACAGCUGGGGAGCCAUAUCAGGAUAAUAGAUAAUAUUAAAAACAGAGAAGCUUGCUCCUGGGAGUCUGGAGGCCUGUUUGCUCCUGUGUAACGAGGUUGGACGUUCUCUGCAGUGAAGAGAUGAGGCUUGCCAUUCCCAGCAAACACAGUAAUGUGGUUGACUCUGAACUGCCCUCUGGGCAAUUAGGGAUGGGUAAUAAAUGCUGCCUGGCCAGUGACGCCCUCAUCCUCUGAAUGAAUUUAAAAAAAGGAAAAUAAAAUCUGUGUAUUAAGACAAAGCAAAAUGCAAAACAUCUGUUGUUUUGUGAUAGGGAUCCACGGAUACAGAACAAUUUGCGUAAUAGUGGAACAGGUACAUAGCAGACACCAUUCCCCUAUCCCUGGACUCAUCCCUGGAACAUCUGGAUAAUAAAGAUACCUAUGUAGGGCUUCAAAUCUUGCCGACAGCUCUGCCUUAAUCCCGACCAAACUAAUCUCCAAACUCUAAGACCUUCUGCAACUGGAUCCUCAGCUUCCUGAUCCCACAGACCACAAUCGGUAAGGAUAAGUAACAGCGCUUCCUCUUGAUAAUCCACAACACCAGGUACCCUGCCAGCUCCCGACUGUGCCUCCGAUACACCCAUGACUGUGAGACCAAAUUUCAUCAGAACUCUAUCUACAAGUUCACUGAUGACAUCACCAUUGUAGGCAGGGGUUCAAACAGUGGUGAGACAGAACACAGGAAGCAGAUAGAGGGCUUGGUGCUAUCAUUACUUCUCUCUCAAUAUCAGCAAAACUAAAGAGCUGAUCAUUAACUUCAGGACAAAAAGAGGAGAACAUGCCCCCAUCUACAUCAAUGGAGCUGAGGUGUUAAGGAUUUGAGAGCUUCAUGUUCCUAGAAGUGACAAUAACCGACAACCUAUCCUGGAUCCCCACGUAGACGGUCAGGAAUAACUCCUCCUCUUCCUCAUGCAACGAAGGAAAUCUGACAUGUCCCUAUGGACCCUCACCAACCUUUACAGAUGCACUACAGACAGCACUGUCUGGGUCCAUACGGUCUGGUCUGCUCUGCCCAGCACUGUAAGAAACUACAGAAAGUUGUGAACACAACCCAGACCAUCAUGAAAACCAACCUUCCAUCCAUGGACUCUACUUACACUUCUCGCUGCCUCAGGAAGGCGGCCAACAUCAUCAAAGACCUCUCCCAGCCCAGUUAUACUCUCUUCCAACGUCUUCCAUCAGGCAGAAGAUAUAGAAGUUUCAACACAUGCACCAACAGGUUCAAGAACAGCUUCUUCCCUGUAGUUAUCAGACUGUUAAAGGGAUCUCCCUAACUUCAAGUAAUAUCGAUCUUACUAAUGCUGAUUGUGUUUUGUGCAUCUCCUGUGCAGUAUAACCUUAUACACCUCGCUCUGUCUAAGCUCCCCAUGAACACAGCAGGCCCAGCAGCAUCAGAGGAGCACAAAAGCUGACGUUUCAGGCCUACACCCUUCAUCAGAAAAGGGGGAGGGGGAGAGGGUUAUAAGAUAAAUAUGGAGAGAGGGGGAGGCAGACUGAAGAUGG